CCCUUAGAUGUUCUGGGCCGCACGCGCGCUACACUGAUGCAUUCAACGAGCCUAUCCUUGACCGACAGGUCCGGGUAAUCUUUGAAUCUGCAUCGUGACGGGGAUAGAUUAUUGCAAUUAUUAAUCUUCAACGAGGAAUGCCUAGUAGGCGCAAGUCAUCAGCUUGCGUCGAUUACGUCCCUGCCCUUUGUACACACCGCCCGUCGCUCCUACCGAUUGGGUGUGCUGGUGAAAUGUUCGGAUCGGCCGUUUGUCGCGGUUUCAGCGUCAUGUGGCUGAGAAGUUCAUUAAACCCUCCCACCUAGAGGAAGGAGAAGUCGUAACA
rnacentral:rRNA from 1 species